UACGGAGGGGGCUAGCGUUGUUCGGAUUCAUUGGGCGUAAAGGGUGCGUAGGUGGCGCGCUAAGUCAGGUGUGAAAUUUCGGAGCUUAACUCCGAAACUGCAUUUGAUACUGGCGUGCUUGAGGACUGGAGAGGAGACUGGAAUUCACGGUGUAGCAGUGAAAUGCGUAGAUAUCGUGAGGAAGGACCAGUGGCGAAGGCGGGUCUCUGGACAGUUCCUGACAC
rnacentral:rRNA from 1 species